GCCCGGCUAGUUGAGUACGUAGAGCAUAGGACUCUUGAUCUUGGGGUCGUGAGUUCAAGCCCCACGUUGGGCA
rnacentral:tRNA from 1 species